AGCUUUGAGCAGUGGCAGUAUCAUAGCCAAUGAGGUUUAUCCAAGGUGCAUUUAUUGCUAAUUGAAAACUUUUCCCAAUACCCUGUCAUGAAGACUUGAAAUAUAGUCAGACAUUGGCAAUUUUUGACAGUCACUAUGGAGA
rnacentral:snRNA from 1 species